AGAGUUGAUCAUGGCUCAGGAUGAACGCUAGCUACAGGCUUAACACAUGCAAGUCGAGGGGCAGCAUGGUCUUAGCUUGCUAAGGCUGAUGGCGACCGGCGCACGGGUGAGUAACGCGUAUCCAACCUUCCCCUUAGUAGGGCAUAGCCCGGCGAAAGUCGGAUUAAUACCCUAUGUUGUCAAUAGAGGACAUCUGAAGCUGACCAAAGGUUUACCGCUAAGGGAUGGGGAUGCGUCUGAUUAGGUUGCAGGCGGGGUAACGGCCCACCUGGCCGACGAUCAGUAGGGGUUCUGAGAGGAAGGUCCCCCACACUGGUACUGAGACACGGACCAGACUCCUACGGGAGGCAGCAGUGAGGAAUAUUGGUCAAUGGGCGAGAGCCUGAACCAGCCAAAAGUAGCGUGCAGGAUGACGGCCCUAUGGGUUGUAAACUGCUUUUAUACGGGGAUAAAGUUCACCACGUGUGGUGUUUUGUAGGUACCGUAUGAAUAAGGACCGGCUAAUUCCGUGCCAGCCGCCGC
rnacentral:rRNA from 1 species